rnacentral:rRNA from 1 species
UGGGGAAUAUUGCACAAUGGGCGAAAGCCUGAUGCAGCGACGCCGCGUGAGGGAUGACGGCCUUCGGGUUGUAAACCUCUUCCAGCAGGGAAGAAGCGAAAGUGACGGUACCUGCAGAAGAAGCGCCGGCUAACUACGUGCCAGCAGCCGCGGUAAUACGUAGGGCGCAAGCGUUGUCCGGAAUUAUUGGGCGUAAAGAGCUCGUAGGCGGUUAGUCGCGUCUGCUGUGAAAACUCGAGGCUCAACCUCGGGCUUGCAGUGGGUACGGGCUGACUAGAGUGCGGUAGGGGUGACUGGAAUUCCUGGUGUAGCGGUGGAAUGCGCAGAUAUCAGGAGGAACACCGAUGGCGAAGGCAGGUCACUGGGCCGCAACUGACGCUGAGGAGCGAAAGCAUGGGGAGCGAACAGGAUUAGAUACCCUGGUAGUCCAUGCCGUAAA